rnacentral:lncRNA from 1 species
CUACAUGCACGAAAAUUUUCACCAAUAAAAAAUUUUUCACCUAUCUAAUCUAAAAAAAUAGUUGUUGUGUGCUCAUGAGUCAUGAGUACAAAUUAGAAAGACCCAUUUUUCGGUCUAAAUAGGUUCAAGUUAGCCUUCCUGAUUCCGCGCUCAUACCAUAUAAUAUACAUAAAUUUCAUCAUAGUUGCCAUGCUUGUAUAUAAAUAUACACUUUCAGGAGCAGUCCACUACAGCAGCAAUCAUGAUGCUCUCUACUUCCUCCUUCUCUUCAACUUCUACUUUCACAGGCUUCAAACACACCAGCUUCAUAACUCAUCAUUAUUAUCUUCAUCAUCAGCAAUACUAUGAUCAUGAUCACACCCUCAUGCCUCCUACUUUUCUUGUCAUCCACCAACCCAAAAAGCCUUCAUCAUCAUCACAUUCACCAAAGUUACACUUUUAAACAAGACUAGAAGAGAGAUGAUGAUUAGUGAAGAAUGAUAUCAGGGUUUGCUUUAAAAGAAACCAAAACCUAAUCAUCUCAUAAUCCAAUCUCUUUCUAGCUAUUGCUGCAAUUAUCAUGCAACGUUGUAAGUUGUGUGUCGAUCUCGGGGAAUCAAGCUGUCUCGGUCCGAUUGUUUGCUAGAUCAAGCAAUGUUUAGUUAGUUUAAUUUCAAGCUCUCAAUUCUCUUCUUCUUGUUUUAGAUGUUAUUAUCGCGAGUAUUAAGCGUGUGUAUCUUUGUUCUCUAGUUUUAACAGUAGUAAUCUGCUAGUUAUAUUUUUUUUCAUAAUCCGGUGUUAGCACACUCGAUCAUAUCUACCAAGCUAAUCUGGAGAACUACUAGCACACUCGUAUCAACUGAGCAUGACAGUUCACUUACUUACGUGCUUUCCGGUGAAAUUGAACAUGUAAUCUUGAAGGAGUAAGCCUCUAAAAUCAAAGUCACGGUCUCGACUAACUGAGAAAGUCGUGGUGCGUUGUGAUCUACUAGUUCUUGCUCACAUACUUGAAAUUUGGAUGAAAUUAUGGUUUGUUAGAAUUUUUUAUGUCCUGCGUAAUGUAAUGCAUUUUUGUCUUGUACUUUAUGUAUACACUUCUGCGAGUUAUGUUGUCAGUUUGAUUUGCGAGUUCUUCUGCAGAAUACUACUGCAUUCUUGUAUUUAUGUAUGCGGACGCUCAAUUUCCAGAUAGUUUAUAAAAAAAGUGACUGGGUUUCAAAAAUGAUAAUAUUGUGGUGUUAUAUAUAUAUGGCUGGCCGGACUUUUCCUCAGUCUUCUAAGAUAAUGGUGACCUGUCAACUCCUCACUAGCGGAGAAGGGGCAAAGUGGUCUCUUAGCUGAAUUCCGUCCGGGAAUAAUAUUAGAUUUUGUUAAUUUCCCAUGUCUUCCCCAAAUCAUUCAUUCUCUAUAGAAUCUCUCCAUAAUCUCUCCAAUUUUCAGCACAAUAUCAAUAAGUUUCGUGAUGAGUUUGUUUUUAACGGUGGUCGUCGGCGACGCCCCGUUCUUCUCGAGAUUCAAGGAGUAAUAAUUUUUGAACCCUAGAUUAUGAGAUGUUUUUGAUUCUG